UGCGGAUGGUGGCUUCCCUGAUCUCCUAUCUCCUUCUUGAGACCAGAGCCGAACUCCUCCAGGUCUCGGUGGUAGAUCAAGGAACAAAACUCCUUUUUUGAGGUGAUGAUCUUGAUUGGCCCCUCAAAGCUCCAUGCUUCACUGCUGCUUCCAUUGCUGGUGGUGAGGAAAUCAGGCUACUAGUGACCAGUGCCUCUCUGCCCCAUCCUUCCUUGUUGUCAGGUGGACAAUAGGGCUAGUCCAGUGGGGACUUCUACCUAGGAAAGUCAGAGGGGGAGAGA
rnacentral:lncRNA from 1 species